CCUACGGGCGACAGCAGUGGGGAAUAUUGCACAAUGGGGGAAAGCCUGAUGCAGCGACGCCGCGUGAGUGAAGAAGUCAUUCGUUAUGUAAAGUUCUAUCAGCAGGGAAGAAAAUGACGGUAUCUGAGUAAGAAGCCCCGGCUAACUCCGUGCCAGCAGCCGCGGUAAUACGUAGGGGGCAAGCGUUAUCCGGAUUUACUGGGUGUAGAGGGAGCGUAGACGGCAGUGCAAGUCUGGAGUGAAAGGCGGGGGCUCAACCCCCGGACUGCUCUUGAAACUGUACGGCUGGAGUGCAGGAGAGGUAAGUGGAAUUCCUAGUGUAGCGGUGAAAUGCGUAGAUAUUAGGAGGAACACCAGUGGCGAAGGCGGCUUACUGGACUGUAACUGACGUUGAGGCGCGAAAGCGUGGGGAGCAAACAGGAUUAGAUACCCCAGUAGUC
rnacentral:rRNA from 1 species